GGGUUGUGAGGUUAAGCGACUAAGCGUACACGGUGGAUGCCCUGGCAGUCAGAGGCGAUGAAGGACGUGCUAAUCUGCGAUAAGCGUCGGUAAGGUGAUAUGAACCGUUAUAACCGGCGAUUUCCGAAUGGGGAAACCCAGUGUGUUUCGACACACUAUCAUUAACUGAAUCCAUAGGUUAAUGAGGCGAACCGGGGGAACUGAAACAUCUAAGUACCCCGAGGAAAAGAAAUCAACCGAGAUUCCCCCAGUAGCGGCGAGCGAACGGGGAGCAGCCCAGAGCCUGAAUCAGUGUGUGUGUUAGUGGAAGCGUCUGGAAAGGCGCGCGAUACAGGGUGACAGCCCCGUACACAAAAAUGCACAUGCUGUGAGCUCGAUGAGUAGGGCGGGACACGUGGUAUCCUGUCUGAAUAUGGGGGGACCAUCCUCCAAGGCUAAAUACUCCUGACUGACCGAUAGUGAACCAGUACCGUGAGGGAAAGGCGAAAAGAACCCCGGCGAGGGGAGUGAAAAAGAACCUGAAACCGUGUACGUACAAGCAGUGGGAGCACGCUUCGGCGUGUGACUGCGUACCUUUUGUAUAAUGGGUCAGCGACUUAUAUUCUGUAGCAAGGUUAACCGAAUAGGGGAGCCGAAGGGAAACCGAGUCUUAACUGGGCGUUAAGUUGCAGGGUAUAGACCCGAAACCCGGUGAUCUAGCCAUGGGCAGGUUGAAGGUUGGGUAACACUAACUGGAGGACCGAACCGACUAAUGUUGAAAAAUUAGCGGAUGACUUGUGGCUGGGGGUGAAAGGCCAAUCAAACCGGGAGAUAGCUGGUUCUCCCCGAAAGCUAUUUAGGUAGCGCCUCGUGAAUUCAUCUCCGGGGGUAGAGCACUGUUUCGGCAAGGGGGUCAUCCCGACUUACCAACCCGAUGCAAACUGCGAAUACCGGAGAAUGUUAUCACGGGAGACACACGGCGGGUGCUAACGUCCGUCGUGAAGAGGGAAACAACCCAGACCGCCAGCUAAGGUCCCAAAGUCAUGGUUAAGUGGGAAACGAUGUGGGAAGGCCCAGACAGCCAGGAUGUUGGCUUAGAAGCAGCCAUCAUUUAAAGAAAGCGUAAUAGCUCACUGGUCGAGUCGGCCUGCGCGGAAGAUGUAACGGGGCUAAACCAUGCACCGAAGCUGCGGCAGCGACGCUGAUGCGUUGUUGGGUAGGGGAGCGUUCUGUAAGCCUGCGAAGGUGUACUGUGAGGUAUGCUGGAGGUAUCAGAAGUGCGAAUGCUGACAUAAGUAACGAUAAAGCGGGUGAAAAGCCCGCUCGCCGGAAGACCAAGGGUUCCUGUCCAACGUUAAUCGGGGCAGGGUGAGUCGACCCCUAAGGCGAGGCCGAAAGGCGUAGUCGAUGGGAAACAGGUUAAUAUUCCUGUACUUGGUGUUACUGCGAAGGGGGGACGGAGAAGGCUAUGUUGGCCGGGCGACGGUUGUCCCGGUUUAAGCGUGUAGGCUGGUUUUCCAGGCAAAUCCGGAAAAUCAAGGCUGAGGCGUGAUGACGAGGUACUACGGUGCUGAAGCAACAAAUGCCCUGCUUCCAGGAAAAGCCUCUAAGCAUCAGGUAACAUCAAAUCGUACCCCAAACCGACACAGGUGGUCAGGUAGAGAAUACCAAGGCGCUUGAGAGAACUCGGGUGAAGGAACUAGGCAAAAUGGUGCCGUAACUUCGGGAGAAGGCACGCUGAUACGUAGGUGAAGUCCCUCGCGGAUGGAGCUGAAAUCAGUCGAAGAUACCAGCUGGCUGCAACUGUUUAUUAAAAACACAGCACUGUGCAAACACGAAAGUGGACGUAUACGGUGUGACGCCUGCCCGGUGCCGGAAGGUUAAUUGAUGGGGUUAGCGCAAGCGAAGCUCUUGAUCGAAGCCCCGGUAAACGGCGGCCGUAACUAUAACGGUCCUAAGGUAGCGAAAUUCCUUGUCGGGUAAGUUCCGACCUGCACGAAUGGCGUAAUGAUGGCCAGGCUGUCUCCACCCGAGACUCAGUGAAAUUGAACUCGCUGUGAAGAUGCAGUGUACCCGCGGCAAGACGGAAAGACCCCGUGAACCUUUACUAUAGCUUGACACUGAACAUUGAGCCUUGAUGUGUAGGAUAGGUGGGAGGCUUUGAAGUGUGGACGCCAGUCUGCAUGGAGCCGACCUUGAAAUACCACCCUUUAAUGUUUGAUGUUCUAACGUUGACCCGUAAUCCGGGUUGCGGACAGUGUCUGGUGGGUAGUUUGACUGGGGCGGUCUCCUCCUAAAGAGUAACGGAGGAGCACGAAGGUUGGCUAAUCCUGGUCGGACAUCAGGAGGUUAGUGCAAUGGCAUAAGCCAGCUUGACUGCGAGCGUGACGGCGCGAGCAGGUGCGAAAGCAGGUCAUAGUGAUCCGGUGGUUCUGAAUGGAAGGGCCAUCGCUCAACGGAUAAAAGGUACUCCGGGGAUAACAGGCUGAUACCGCCCAAGAGUUCAUAUCGACGGCGGUGUUUGGCACCUCGAUGUCGGCUCAUCACAUCCUGGGGCUGAAGUAGGUCCCAAGGGUAUGGCUGUUCGCCAUUUAAAGUGGUACGCGAGCUGGGUUUAGAACGUCGUGAGACAGUUCGGUCCCUAUCUGCCGUGGGCGCUGGAGAAUUGAGGGGGGCUGCUCCUAGUACGAGAGGACCGGAGUGGACGCAUCACUGGUGUUCGGGUUGUCAUGCCAAUGGCACUGCCCGGUAGCUAAAUGCGGAAGAGAUAAGUGCUGAAAGCAUCUAAGCACGAAACUUGCCCCGAGAUGAGUUCUCCCUGACUCCUUGAGAGUCCUGAAGGAACGUUGAAGACGACGACGUUGAUAGGCCGGGUGUGUAAGCGCAGCGAUGCGUUGAGCUAACCGGUACUAAUGAACCGUGAGGCUUAACCUUACAACGCCGAAGCUGUU
rnacentral:rRNA from 1 species